AGGAGAUAGACAACGAACCAGUACACAGGUGUAUUGAACGUGGAAGGUGCAGGUGACAAUUAGCACCGUGUGUGUGCGUAUGCAGGCACUCACCUGCACACGCACAUAUGGGGAGAUAAAGAGAGCAAGAGACAGAGACAGAAGGAGAAAGAAGGUUGUGCCCUGCCUCCUUCCCUCCUAUUUCAAGAUCAGAGUUCUGGCGAGUGCAGUGGGACAUUUUCACGAUCUCCCAGAAGGGCCCAGACUCUACUUUUUUCUGGCCCAAAUUCUCUUUUCUCCCUGUGACUCCCCAUGAGCUUUGGCAUGCAUCUGGUUCUGCACUCAGGGAAGGAUCCAAGAAAUCUUGUUGGUGCCAAGAUGUUCAGUAAACUCCAGAUCUGGGGCUCUUGGCUGACAUACGGAGGCCACAGGAUGCCAUGGGCCCCAGAGAGGAAGAGCAGAUUCCCGAGGAUCCCCAAAGAUGAAGCUCACCAACUGGGGGGCAAGAGCCUAGGCUCCUCCUCCCGUCUCAGCUGACAGUGGCCCAGGCUACGUGCUGCCAUGGCAGUGGGAAGGGGUGGGAAAUGGGGCAGAAGAAGAGUUUCCUUGGCUUAAACAUUCUAUCACCUGGACUCAUGAUGCCUCCUUGACAUGGUGAAGCGUCAAAAAGUCAUUCGAGUUUCCCAAGGUUCUGUGAGCCAGCCUGACCCCUGAUCCACUCAGAGGAAUCUUCCAGUACCCGUGGCACUAACAUGAUGUGAAGGAAUUCUCUCUGCUCUGAGCAGAAAGUGGGCUGCAGCUGGUUGUAUUUUCCAGAAACAGUUGCAGCAUCUCUCAUUGUAUAUAUUCUUCUAGAACAGGGGUCCACAGACUGCAGCCUGCAGACUAGCUAUCUGCUUUUGUAAAGUUUUCUUGGAAGAAGAUCAUGCCCAUUUUGUCAACGGCUGCUUUCAUAUCGUUGCUAUGUCAGCAGAGUCGGAGUUGCAACAGACACUGUAUGGCAGGCAAGUCUAAAAUAUUUACUGUCUGGCCCUUUAAGAAAAAGUUUGCCAAACUUUUUUCUAGAACCUUGCUAUCAAGAAGUUGGGGUGGGGGUGGGGGGUGAUCUAUGUUCCCUCCCUUUGGACCAGGGUGGAACUCUGUGACUACCUUGACCCAACAGAGUAUGGCAGAAGUGAUGCUAGGUGACCUCUGAAGUCGGCUCAUAAAAGGUCAUGUGGUUCCACCCUGCCCUGUCCAAAUAACUGCUUCUUGAGCCAUGCUGGAUUCCAAGCUGAGAUCCUUCGGAAGGGCAAUUAGAGCUAAUCCGGUUACCGUAGUUACACUGUGAGGAGAGUAAACGAGCCGAGCCGCCUGAAUAGCAUUGUUACGGAUCUCUUGGACUUCUGUUCUCUGUCUUAUCUGAGAAGCAGGCUAUUCUGAUGGAGGGCAGAAAGCAGUCAACCAACCAAUCUGGUAAUUACCUUUUACUCAGCAAUGAAAUAAUACACAGUGUAGAUUCUUCAUCACGUAGUACAUAAAACAGGGAUAGACUCUAGUUGUAAUGACAACUACUAAUAAAAUGUAACUUUCUCAUAUUUUCAUAGCUCUUUAGUAUUUAAUGAGUGUUUUCAUAUACUUUGUUUCAUUUCUCCCCUUCCAAGAACCCUAUGAGAGACACAGGAAUCUUGAAACUGAGGCAGAAAGCUGAAGAAGAAGAAGUGGGGCUUUAACUGAGCCUUGUCAAAUGGGCCACACUGGAGAUAGAGAAGGAAGAGUCAGAGGGAGGCCACAGCAGGUGGAGGUGGAAGCAGGUGUGUGUAAAGGCUUGAGAUAUCAUGCGGUCCCAGCCUGAGAGCGUGGAGGGUGAGGGCAGAGCCAUGACCUGCUCUGGUCCCCAAGCUGCUUGGAGAGAAGGAGUUUCUGGGCAACCUGACCUGCCUAAAAAACCUAGAUGUUGGCCUUCUGAGACCUCCCCAUAUUGAACUGGUUAACGUGAGUACUCUGGUGCCAUGCAUCUCCCUGCAGCCCAGCAGAUUUUGCUC